rnacentral:rRNA from 1 species
GACGAACGCUGGCGGCGUGCUUAACACAUGCAAGUCGAACGAUGAAGCCCAGCUUGCUGGGUGGAUUAGUGGCGAACGGGUGAGUAACACGUGAGUAAGCUGCCCCGGACUCUGGGAUAAGCGUUGGAAACGACGACUAAUACUGGAUAUGACUACUGGUCGCAUGGCCUGGUGGUUGAAAGAUUUUUUGGGUGGGGAUGGACUCGCGGCCUAUCAGCUUGUUGGUGAGGUAAUGGAUCACCAAGGGGACGACGGGUAGACGGCCUGGGAGGGGAACCGUCCACGCUGGGACUGAGACACGGCCCAUACUCCGACGGGAGGCAGUAGUGGGGAAUAUUGCACAAUGGGCGACAGCCUGAUGCAACAACGCCGCGUGAGGGAUGACGGCCUUCAGGUUGUAAACCUCUUUUAGUAGGGAAGAAGCGAAAGUGACGGUACCUGCAGAAAAAGCACCGGCUAACUACGUGCCAGCCGCCGCAGUAA